rnacentral:lncRNA from 1 species
CAAGAACCUCUUCCCAAGACUCUGCUGUGCCUCCUGCAGGUUGAUUCUUCAGGAUCCCUCCAGCUUCUCACUUUUGCUUCAACAACAGUAGUAGGCUUUUGGAUGCCAUUCCGGAUAUUGAUUCAUGAUAUGACAUUGUUGCGAAGUAACAAUUCUUCUAAAAAUGCAAGCACUUGAAAGAAAAACAAAACAUACAGACAUCUGCAUCCACAAAGCUGCUCCUGUUCAGUAACCCAGCAAUAAAGCAGCCAACCCAGACA